rnacentral:tRNA from 1 species
AGGGUUAUAUUUAAUUAUAAUAUUUGAAUUGCAAUCAAAAGGUGUCCAAAAGAUUAAUCUUU